rnacentral:misc_RNA from 1 species
UACGGGAGAGCAGCAGUGGGGAAUUUGGACAAUGGGGGAAACCCUGAUCCAGCCAUCCCGCGUGCGGUGAAGGCCUUCGGGUUGUAAAGCACUUUUGGCAGAAAGAAACGGCGCAGGAUAAUACCCGUGCAACUGACGGUACCCGCAGAAUAAGCACCGGCUAACUACGUGCCAGCAGCCGCGGUAAUACGUAGGGUGCAAGCGUUAAUCCAGAAUUACUGGGCGUAAAGCGUGCGCAGGCGGUUCCGGAAAGAAGAUGUGAAAUCCCAGAGCUUAACUUUGGAACUGCAUUUUUAACUACCGAGCUAGAGUGUGUCAGAGGGAGGUGGAAUUCCGCGUGUAGCAGUGAAAUGCGUAGAUAUGCGGAGGAACGCCGAUAGCGAAGGCAGCCUCCUGGGAUGCUGCAGCAGCUCAUGCACGAAAGCGUAUAGGGAGCAAACAGAGUUAGAUACCCGUGUAGU